AUAUUUAACGAACGGGAUCAAGAAUCAUUAUUAUUUCGACACAACGAAGGAUCGGAAGAUUGAUUUUGUAGAAGAUUAGGGAGACAAAUAAUGAUUCUUAGAAUGACUUGUUCCUUUCAUUUAUCCCUUGUAUCCUCCUCCCCUCACCGCCUAUUGGGUACAAUAGAAUAGAAAGAAAGUAGUGAUACAUUCCAUAGCGUUUACAAUGUGGUAGGCAAUAGGAGACCCAGCAUAGUCACAACAUUCCUAUUUUGAUUGAAUCAAAUCACCUUCUUGCGGAAUGCUAUUACUAAUAAUGGUAAUGAG
rnacentral:lncRNA from 1 species